AUGCUCAAUUCUACUACAGAAGUUGACAAAGAAACAAACGAAGUGACAGCUCUGUUUUGGGUGGAUGGAAGGACAAGAGGAUUGUACCCAAAGUACAAAGAUUGUGUGUCCUUUGACACAACAUUUUGCACAAAUCGGUACAAUCUGCCUUUCGCUCCUAUUGUUGGUGUGAACAACCACUUGCAAACCGUGUUGCCAGGUUGUGCCUUGGUGCCAAAUGAACAAAUAGAAACUUUCAAGUGGGUGUUUCAACAUUGGAUGAUUGCAAUGAAUAAUGAGCACCUGUUGCACCUAAUGACUGACCAGGACAAGGCAAUGGAAACAGCAAUAAAAGAUGUCUUCCCAAACACAGUGCAUUGGUGCUGCAAAUGGCACGUCCAGCGAAAAGCAGGGGAAAAGUUGGGUAGGAUCCUGAGCAUGGAUGAAAAUUUUGAGCAGGUUUUCUAUGGGGUUAUCAAUGAUUCGGAGACGGUGGAUGAGUUCGAGGAGAAUUGGCAGCAUAUGCUGCAUUGCUUUGACUUGGUUGACAACAGACAUCUAAGCAACAUGUGGCGUAAGCGAGAGACCUGGGCUCCAGCAUACUUCCGAAAGAACUUCUUCCCAUUUACAAGCACUACAGGGCGGUCUGAGGGUCUCAACUCCUACUUCAAGACAUUUGUCAACCCUCAAGACUUUGUCUGGAGAUUUGUACAACAAUAUGAGGUGCUUCAAGAAACAAUGUUGGACCGUGAAGACAAUCAAGCUUUCAUAGGCCACGCAACAACUGCACCACUUUACUCAAGGUACAACUUUGAGCGCCAAGCAGUUCACUUCUAUACCCGAAGCGUGUUUCUCAAGUUUCAAAAAGAGGUCAUGGCAUCAAUAGGCUUCAUCAUGAACCUGGCCCCUGCUCUUGACAAUGCAAGCGUGAGGUUUGAGCUGCACUCAAAUUACUUUGAGAACCCCCGAAUAUUUUCAGUGAAUGUUGUGUUGGCAGAGGAGAAGUUUGAAUGCAGCUGCAACUGUUUUGAGAUGAAUGGGAUUAUUUGUGCACACAUCAUAAGGGUAAUGGUGCAUCUCAAUGUCCAAAAAAUUCCACAAAGAUACAUGCUAGAGAGGUGGUCAGAAGCUGCGACAACGGCAAUGAGCGGUGGUGGAUGUCUCCUAGAUUUUGGGCACCCUGCAACCAACACUCUCAAGUACAACGCCUUGUGCAGAAAGUAUACAUGGUUGGCUUCACAAGCUUGCAGCAACGAUCUUGCCUACAAAAUAAUGAAUGAUGCAGCUCACCAACUUGAGCCCCUCAUAGCUGCAGCAAAGCAAGGGGCGCUCCCAGAACAACAGGAAGCAAAUCAGCGGCAAGCAAUGCAACAGCAACAACAAACCCCCGAGCCAACCACUGUGCCGCAACCUGAUGGCGAUGCCAUGCUUCAUAACCCCGCACGUGUUCCAAAAAAAGGGCGUUCGACUGAAAAAUCAAAGAGGAGAAAGACUCUGCUUGAGCAACGAGAAGAUGCACAUAAGAAUAAAGCUAAGAAAGAUGAAAAGAAGCAAACCAAGCCCAGAGGAAAACCUGGACCAAAGAAGAAAGCACCUCCUUGCUCGUACUGCAACGAAGAAGGUCACGGUGUCCAAACAUGCCAGUACUUGAAGGCUGCAAUGGGGGUCAAAAAAUGUCCCUACUGUGAAGAGCAAGGUCAUGCUGUGCAAGAAUGUCCCUACCUAAAAGCUGCAAUGAAGACAGAUGCUAGCAUGGCUAGAGCAACAAAGCUUAGGCUGUGA
rnacentral:rRNA from 1 species